rnacentral:rRNA from 1 species
GACGAACGCUGGCGGCGUGCUUAACACAUGCAAGUCGAACGGAAAGGCCCUGCUUUUGUGGGGUGCUCGAGUGGCGAACGGGUGAGUAACACGUGAGUAACCUGCCCUUGACUUUGGGAUAACUUCAGGAAACUGGGGCUAAUACCGGAUAGGAGCUCCUGCUGCAUGGUGGGGGUUGGAAAGUUUCGGCGGUUGGGGAUGGACUCGCGGCUUAUCAGCUUGUUGGUGGGGUAGUGGCUUACCAAGGCUUUGACGGGUAGCCGGCCUGAGAGGGUGACCGGCCACAUUGGGAAUGAGAUACGGCCCAGACUCCUACGGGAGGCAGCAGUGGGGAAUAUUGCACAAUGGGCGGAAGCCUGAUGCAGCAACACCGCGUGCGGGAUGACGGCCUUCGGGUUGUAAACCGCUUUCGCCUGUGACGAAGCGUGAGUGACGGUAAUGGGUAAAGAAGCACCGGCUAACUACGUG